UGUGGGUUGUUCCCACCCACAGGGCCCACUGGGCGCUAGUACACUGGUACCAAGGUACCUUUGUACGCCUGUUUUAUAC
rfam:Human echovirus 32 strain PR-10 complete genome.